rnacentral:rRNA from 1 species
GACGAACGCUGGCGGCGUGCCUAACACAUGCAAGUCGAACGGAAAGGCCCUGCUUUUGUGCGGUGCUCGAGUGGCGAACGGGUGAGUAACACGUGAGUAUCCUGCCCUUGACUUUGGGAUAACUUCAGGAAACUGGGGCUAAUACCGGAUAGGAGCUCCUGCUCCAUGGUGGGCGUUGGAAAGUUUCGGCGGUAGGGGCUGGACUCGCGGCUUAUCAGCUUGUUGGUGGGGUAGUGGCUUACCAAGGCUUUGACGGGUAGCCGGCCUGGGAGGGUGACCGGCCACAUUAGGACUAAGGUACGGCCCAGACUCCUACGGGAGGCAACAGGCGGGAAUAUUGCCCAGUGAGCGGGAGCCUGUUGCGGCAGCGCCGCGUGCGGAAUGACGGCCUUCGGGUUGUGAACCGCUUUCGCCUGUGACGAAGCGUGAGUGACGGUAGUGGAUAAAGAAGCACCGGCUAACUACGUG